UGGGGAAUAUUGCACAAUGGGCGCAAGCCUGAUGCAGCCAUGCCGCGUGUGUGAAGAAGGCCUUCGGGUUGUAAAGCACUUUCAGCGGGGAGGAAGGCGAUAAGGUUAAUAACCUUGUCGAUUGACGUUACCCGCAGAAGAAGCACCGGCUAACUCCGUGCCAGCAGCCGCGGUAAUACGGAGGGUGCAAGCGUUAAUCGGAAUUACUGGGCGUAAAGCGCACGCAGGCGGUCUGUCAAGUCGGAUGUGAAAUCCCCGGGCUCAACCUGGGAACUGCAUUCGAAACUGGCAGGCUAGGGUCUUGUAGAGGGGGGUAGAAUUCCAGGUGUAGCGGUGAAAUGCGUAGAGAUCUGGAGGAAUACCGGUGGCGAAGGCGGCCCCCUGGACAAAGACUGACGCUCAGGUGCGAAAGCGGGGGGAGCAAACAGG
rnacentral:rRNA from 1 species